CAUGCAAGUCGAACGGAACCUAGAUGUUAGACUGUAGAUGUUAGAAAUUAGAACAAGGACAUGGUUGGAACUUUAAGAUUGAGCCUAAGGCUUGAGGGACCAUUGUCUUAGAUUUAAAAUCUAAAAUCUAAUGUCUAGAGUCUAACAUCUAGGCUUAGUGGCGGACGGGCGAGUAACGCGUGAGCAACCUGCCCUUAAGAGGGGGACAACGACUGGAAACGGUCGCUAAUACCGCAUGACAUAUCGGGAUGGCAUCAUCUUGAUAUCAAAGGAGAAAUCCGCUUAAGGAUGGGCUCGCGUCCGAUUAGCUAGUUGGUGGGGUAACGGCCCACCAAGGCGACGAUCGGUAGCCGAACUGAGAGGUUGAUCGGCCGCAUUGGGACUGAGACACGGCCCAGACUCCUACGGGAGGCAGCAGUGGGGGAUAUUGCACAAUGGAGGAAACUCUGAUGCAGCAACGCCGCGUGAGGGAAGAAGGUCUUCGGAUUGUAAACCUUAGUAGUCAGGGACGAAAAAAAUGACGGUACCUGAAGAGUAAGCUCCGGCUAACUACGUGCCAGCAGCCGCGGUAAUACGUAGGGAGCGAGCGUUGUCCGGAUUUACUGGGUGUAAAGGGUGCGUAGGCGGGACUGCAAGUCAGGCGUGAAAUACCGGGGCUUAACUCCGGGGCUGCGCUUGAAACUGCGGUUCUUGAGUGAAGUAGAGGCAGGCGGAAUUCCUAGUGUAGCGGUGAAAUGCGUAGAUAUUAGGAGGAACACCAGUGGCGAAGGCGGCCUGCUGGGCUUUAACUGACGCUGAGGCACGAAAGCAUGGGGAGCAACAGGAUUAGAUACCCUGGUAGUCCAUGCCGUAAACGAUGAUUGCUAGGUGUGGGGGGACUGACCCCUUCCGUGCCGGAGUUAACACAAUAAGCAAUCCACCUGGGGAGUACGACCGCAAGGUUGAAACUCAAAGGAAUUGACGGGGGCCCGCACAAGCAGUGGAGUAUGUGGUUUAAUUCGAAGCAACGCGAAGAACCUUACCAGGUCUUGACAUCCAACUAACGAAGCAGAGAUGCAUCAGGUGCCCUUCGGGGAAAGUUGAGACAGGUGGUGCAUGGUUGUCGUCAGCUCGUGUCGUGAGAUGUUGGGUUAAGUCCCGCAACGAGCGCAACCCUUGUCAUUAGUUGCUACGCAAGAGCACUCUAAUGGGACUGCCGUUGACAAAACGGAGGAAGGUGGGGACGACGUCAAAUCAUCAUGCCCCUUAUGACCUGGGCUACACACGUACUACAAUGGCCGUUAACAGAGGGAAGCAAUCCCGCGAGGAGGAGCAAACCCCUAAAAACGGUCUCAGUUCAGAUUGCAGGCUGCAACCCGCCUGCAUGAAGUAGGAAUUGCUAGUAAUCGCGGAUCA
rnacentral:rRNA from 1 species